CGACCUACUAAGUGCUUGACAGAAAAGGGGAUCUACACUUCUUAGCUAAUCUAGUCAGGGCAACGCCACCUAGUGGCAGAACCAUGGCGACGCAUGGCAACUAUGGCGCAACGACAACACUAUGCGAUCGACAGAGAGGGCAAUGGGGAGGAUCGUAGGGGAGCGGCUGCUCACCAAGGUCGUGUGGAUAGGGCGAGGCAAUCGAUCGAGGAAGAAGAGGGUUGGUGCUGCCUGUCGACGCGAAGCUCCCAGCUGCGACAACGAUGUUGACGGGGCCGACGACUUGGAGAUGCUCCGGCCUCCCUAACACCGGUAUCGGGUAGAGAAGGUCCCAGGG
rnacentral:lncRNA from 1 species